rnacentral:rRNA from 1 species
UACGUAGGGUGCAAGCGUUAAUCGGAAUUACUGGGCGUAAAGCGUGCGCAGGCGGCUUUGCAAGACAGAUGUGAAAUCCCCGGGCUCAACCUGGGAACUGCAUUUGUGACUGCAUGGCUAGAGUGCGGCAGAGGGGGAUGGAAUUCCGCGUGUAGCAGUGAAAUGCGUAGAGAUGUGGAGGAAUACCGAUGGCGAAGGCAGCCCCCUGGGCCAAUACUGACGCUCAUGCACGAAAGCGUGGGGAGCAAACAGG